GUGAUUUUCAGUCUGUUUGAACUCUGCCAAAGUGGUGCGAUUGCUUUCACUUCAACACUGUGACAUCUGAGUCCAAAUGGAGCACCUACAGUUUGCCAAAAUGAUGAUUAAAGUCACAGUUAUUGCUCUACACUGUAAAGGUUCCUUAGCUGACGCUACAAGGAAGCAGAGUGUGUUGGUGGGCACAGACGUGACUCUCAGCUGCCUGUUUGAUAAACUGUCCAAACAGGUGGAGUGGAGUACUCUGACUGUGGAGUGGAACAUGGCAGAUAAACGUGCAGAGAAGAAGGUUGUGUACACGCUCGUCGAUGGUACAGCGCAUGUGAACAGAGAUGGCUCUGUGGUGGAUAAAUCACGACUUCUGGAGAGCGAUGCAUCUCUGCAGCUUCAUAAUGUGACUGUGAGAGAUGAGGGGCUGUACACCUGCCGAAUCAUCACACCUGUGGUCUACACAGAGACGACUUCACUGGAAGUGCUGGCUCGGCCUUCAGUGACGCUCCCAGAGAAGGCAGCUGUGACAGAGGGGGAGGAGAAGACGAUACAGUGUGACAUCACAGCUUUCUAUCCAGAAAAACUGGCCAUUACAUGGUACAUCCAAAAUGGCUCCCGAACUGUCCACGCUGGUGUGAGCCACCUCUCCCGUGUCUGCACUGAAAUGGCUAUUCAUAAUCCAGAUGGAACCUACAGUAUUCGCAGUGGCAUCACGCUGCACUCCUCCGCAGUAAAGGGUGGAGAUAUACACCUCAUCUGCCAAGUGGAGCACCAGACCUACAGUCGGACAUACAACAGAUCUGUUACACUAACUGUUCAGGCUCCAUCACGACCCCCUUACAGUGCUGUCACACUGAUAGCUGUCACCAGUGUCAUCAGCUUGUUGCUGGUCUCCUCUCUUAUUGGUGGCACUUUGCUUCUCUACAGGUAUUUCUGUAAAGUGGAGCCAUCAUUUCUCCAGAUCACCAGCAUCCCUCAGAUCCCCAAGGUGGAGAGACUGCUGGUUCUCUGCUGUCGAGUGGAGAACUUCUACCCUCCAGAUGUGCACCUGGAGUGGUCCAGGAAUGACGGAGAGGAGAUUGGCGCUGUCACACACUUUGGACCUUUCUCUGACCAUAAUCGCCUCUACAGCAAGUGGAGUAAGGUCCAACUUGUCAUGGAGAAAGAGGACGAGAGAGCUGUCUACACCUGCCGUGUUUACCACUCCAGCUUCUCUGCUCCAGGCUACAAAGAUGUCCUGUACCACAUUAAUACACAAGGAACUCCUCCUAAUGUGAGGUUCAUUGACUGUGAACCGCCGUGUCCUCUGCUGAAUGACGAGUGUACACUGCAACUGUGCAUCAGAGACUUCUGUCCUGAGGACGUGUCAGUGACUUGGACUAAAGAUGGUGAGACAGUUUGCUCUGGCGUCUUCAACACUCCACCGAGCCUGAACAUCAACGGCCUCUACUCCAUGCUUAGUUUUCUCAAACUCCCUCCCAAUGAGGAUGACCAGGCCUCAAAGUUCACAUGCCGAGUGGUGCACAGCGCUCAGAGGGAGCCUGAGGAAAGGCUCUUCAUUCUGCCCAACCUGCACCUGAAAGAUAGCUGUUGACUCACUUCCCCAUUGUCAUCAGUGAUCAGACUGAUACUGGUUGUGUCAUCAGCAACCUGGAGAUGUGGGAGUGUGGUGGACAGGUGAAAGUUACCCCAAACGCAUACUAUGGGGAGCUUCAUGAUUUAGUGUAAAAGAAAAUUUGCAAUAGUUUAUAGACAGCAUUUUAAAAAAAGCUGGGAGAAUAAAAUGUAAAAAUGAUGUUGUCUCCCUCUGACCAAAAACAUCACGACACUUACAAAGACAUAAAAGGCUUUAUGCCUCUUUUCUUUUCACAUUUACACUUCUACUUAAAAAAAUCUGACUACUUUGUGAAAUAGUGUCAUCCAUUUAUUUCUGUAUGAAAGCAAGAAGAAAUAUGUUGAUGAAGGUUCUCGGUCAUUCAGGUCAUGGUAAUUCUAAAUUAUCUCUGCAGUUUGUCUCCACUCUACCUGCAUUGUGGCUGAUGUAAGCGCCAGGUUUUGAAAAGGAGAAGACUAUGUGGAAUAAAAAAGCUGUUAUUUCUGACAAUGCAGCCACUGAGUGACAUAACUGGAGGCAGCAGAUUACAUGAGGCCCCACAAAACUACUUUCUCACAUGUACAGUAGACCCCCUAGACCUGUGAACACACAUCACCUGGUUCUAGCAGCAGCCACCACCAGGCCCCAGCAGUGGAAGCUACCUGGACUCAGCUGCUCAGACACCAUCAAGCAGCAGCAGCCACCACCAUGUCUGCAGCAGCAGAAGAUACCUGGUCCCAUGAUCAGCUGCCAGCAGGCCUCAGCAGCAGGAGCUACCUGGCCUAGCAGCAGCUCAACCACCAGGCCUUAGCAGCAGCCCAUCUAUCUAUCCAUCCAACCAUCCAUCCAUCCACCAGACUAGGCCCAGGCCUCCUUCAGUGACAACAUGCCACCUAAGCAGAAGCCAGAAGUGAAGUCUGAGGAGGAGUGUAUUAGCUCGCACAGGUGAAUGAUCUAAUGCAUCAACAGAGAGGGAUGUUUUUAGCACUCUUGCAACAACAGCAAGGCAGGAAGUCAAGCACAGAAACAACAAUGUUACAUCCGGUUACUUUCAACAUAAAAUACUCCGUGUUGACACCAGCACACAAAUCUCAAAAAAGAGACAAACACAAUCUCUUCUACUAAUCCUUCUGUCGGGAACACUUCCUGACACAUACCUAUAACUGCGGUCGUGAGUGAUUAUGUGAUUAUCACGAAAACUCUUCAACCUCGUGACACCAGCUGUCUACCGUACUGCGCCAUGGCGGACUCAAAAUGCAACCGGUGGCGGACAGCGGACCAAAACCGGAUGGAAGCCGUAACGUAUCUGUAGU